CCUCUGGUAGCUCAGUUGGCAGAGCGGUGGACUGUAGAUCCAUAGGUCGCUGGUUCAAAUCCGGCCCAGAGGA
rnacentral:tRNA from 1 species